rnacentral:rRNA from 1 species
AACGAACGCUGGCGGCGUGCCUAACACAUGCAAGUCGAACGGGAUUCGGAGCUUGCUCCGAUGAGAGUGGCGCACGGGUGAGUAACGCGUAGAUAAUCUGCCUGAUGAUCUGGGAUAACAGUUCGAAAGGACUGCUAAUACCGGAUAAGCCCACGGAGACCUUGGUCUUUGCGGGAAAAGGGGGGGACCUUCGGGCCUUCCGUCAUCAGAUGAGUCUGCGUACCAUUAGCUAGUUGGUAGGGUAAAGGCCUACCAAGGCGACGAUGGUUAGCUGGUCUGAGAGGAUGAUCAGCCACACUGGAACUGAGACACGGUCCAGACUCCUACGGGAGGCAGCAGUGGGGAAUUUUGCGCAAUGGGGGAAACCCUGACGCAGCAACGCCGCGUGAGUGAUGAAGGCUCUUGGGUCGUAAAGCUCUGACAGAGGGAAAGAAGUGUAUGGUGGUUAAUACCCAUUGUACUUGACGGUACCCUCAAAGGAAGCACCGGCUAACUCCGUGCCAGCAGCCGCCGUAACAC